UACGAAGGGUGCAAGCGUUGUUCGGAAUUACUGGGCGUAAAGCGCGCGUAGGCGGGUUGGAAAGUCGAUUGUGAAAGCCCUGGGCUUAACCUGGGAAUGGCAGUCGAAACUCCCAAUCUUGAGUGCCUGAGAGGAUGGCGGAAUUCCCGGUGUAGUAGUGAAAUACGUAGAUAUCGGGAAGAACACCUGAGGCGAAGGCGGCUAUCUGGCGGUGCACUGACGCUGAGGCGCGAAAGCGUGGGGAGCAAACAGGAUUAGAAACCCCCGUAGUCC
rnacentral:rRNA from 1 species